GCCGGGCGUGGUGGCGGGCGCCUGUAGUCCCAGCUACUCGGGAGGCUGAGACAGGAGAAUCACUUGAACCCAGGAGGCGGAGGUUGCAGUGAGCCGAGAUCAUGCCACUGCACUCCAGCCUGGGUGACAGGGUGAGACUCUGUCUCAA
rnacentral:SRP_RNA from 2 species